CCUACGGGAGGCAGCAGUGGGGAAUAUUGCACAAUGGGCGCAAGCCUGAUGCAGCCAUGCCGCGUGUGUGAAGAAGGCCUUCGGGUUGUAAAGCACUUUCAGCGGGGAGGAAGGCGUUAAGGUUAAUAACCUUGGCGAUUGACGUUACCCGCAGAAGAAGCACCGGCUAACUCCGUGCCAGCAGCCGCGGUAAUACGGAGGGUGCAAGCGUUAAUCGGAAUUACUGGGCGUAAAGCGCACGCAGGCGGUCUGUCAAGUCGGAUGUGAAAUCCCCGGGCUCAACCUGGGAACUGCAUUCGAAACUGGCAGGCUAGAGUCUUGUAGAGGGGGGUAGAAUUCCAGGUGUAGCGGUGAAAUGCGUAGAGAUCUGGAGGAAUACCGGUGGCGAAGGCGGCCCCCUGGACAAAGACUGACGCUCAGGUGCGAAAGCGUGGGGAGCAAACAGGAUUUGAUACCCGGGUAGUC
rnacentral:rRNA from 1 species